rnacentral:RNase_P_RNA from 1 species
CGGCGCUGCUGGACGGCCGCGUUCGCCUGGCUCCGAGAAGGAGGGCGACCGAGGAAAGUCCGGGCUCCACAGGGCAUGGUGGCUGGUAAAUCCAGCCGUCUCGCGUGGCGGCGGGACAGGGAAAGUGCAACAGAAAACAGACCGCCGGGUGGGCAACCAUCCGGUAAGGGCGAAACGGCGGGGUAAGAGCCCACCGCGGAUCCCGCGAGGGAUCUGGCAAUGUAAACCCCACCUGGAGCAAGCCCAGACCGUGGUAAUGACGCUGCCCGCGUCGCCACAGGUAGGGCGCUGGAAUGCCGGCGGCAACGCCGGUGUCGAGAGAAAUGGCCGUCCCCGACAGGACCCGGCUUACAGGCAGCGAUCCGACCA